AUUGAACGCUGGCGGCAGGCUUAACACAUGCAAGUCGAGCGGAGAUGAGGUGCUUGCACCUUAUCUUAGCGGCGGACGGGUGAGUAAUGCUUAGGAAUCUGCCUAUUAGUGGGGGACAACAUUCCGAAAGGAAUGCUAAUACCGCAUACGCCUUACGGGGGAAAGGAGGGGAUCUUCGGACCUUGCGCUAAUAGAUGAGCCGAAGUCGGAUGAGCUAGUUGGUGGGGUAAAGGCCUACCAAGGCGACGAUCUGUAGCGGGUCUGAGAGGAUGAUCCGCCACACUGGGACUGAGACACGGCCCAGACUCCUACGGGAGGCAGCAGUGGGGAAUAUUGGACAAUGGGCGGAAGCCUGAUCCAGCCAUGCCGCGUGUGUGAAGAAGGCCUUUUGGUUGUAAAGCACUUUAAGCGAGGAGGAGGCUACCUGGAUUAAUACUCUAGGAUAGUGGACGUUACUCGCAGAAUAAGCACCGGCUAACUCUGUGCCAGCAGCCGCCGUAACAC
rnacentral:rRNA from 1 species